UAGGGAAUCUUCCGCAAUGGACGCAAGUCUGACGGAGCAACGCCGCGUGAGUGAAGAAGGAUUUCGGUUCGUAAAACUCUGUUGUUAGAGAAGAACAGCGCAUAGAGUAACUGUUAUGCGUGUGACGGUAUCUAACCAGAAAGCCACGGCUAACUACGUGCCAGCAGCCGCGGUAAUACGUAGGUGGCAAGCGUUGUCCGGAUUUAUUGGGCGUAAAGCGAGCGCAGGCGGUCAAUUAAGUCUGAUGUGAAAGCCCCCGGCUCAACCGGGGAGGGUCAUUGGAGACUGGUUGACUUGAGUGGAGAAGGGGAGAGUGGAAUUCCAUGUGUGGCGGUGAAAUGCGUAGAUAUAUGGAGGAACACCAGGGGAAAGGGGGACUCUCUGGUCUGUAACUGACGCUGAGGCUCGAAAGCGUGGGUAGCAAACAGG
rnacentral:rRNA from 1 species